GAGGAAAAGAAACCAACAGGGAUUGCCUUAGUAGCGGCGAGUGAAGCGGCAAAAGCUCAAAUUUGAAAUCUGGCUCUUUCAGAGUCCGAGUUGUAAUUUGAAGAAGGUAUCUUUGGGUCUGGCUCUUGUCUAUGUUUCUUGGAACAGAACGUCACAGAGGGUGAGAAUCCCGUGCGAUGAGAUGAUCCAGGCCUAUGUAAAGUUCCUUCGAAGAGUCGAGUUGUUUGGGAAUGCAGCUCUAAGUGGGUGGUAAAUUCCAUCUAAAGCUAAAUAUUGGCGAGAGACCGAUAGCGAACAAGUACAGUGAUGGAAAGAUGAAAAGAACUUUGAAAAGAGAGUGAAAAAGUACGUGAAAUUGUUGAAAGGGAAGGGCUUGAGAUCAGACUUGGUAUUUUGUAUGUUACUUCUUCGGGGGUGGCCUCUACAGUUUAUCGGGCCAGCAUCAGUUUGGGCGGUAGGAGAAUUGCGUUGGAAUGUGGCACGGCUUCGGUUGUGUGUUAUAGCCUUCGUCGAUACUGCCAGCCUAGACUGAGGACUGCGGUUUAUACCUAGGAUGUUGGCAUAAUGAUCUUAAGUCGCCCGUCUUGAA
rnacentral:rRNA from 1 species